CCUACGGGGGGCUGCAGUGGGGAAUAUUGGGCAAUGGGCGCAAGCCUGACCCAGCAACGCCGCGUGAGGGAAGAAGGCUUUCGGGUUGUAAACCUCUGUCCUUGGUGACGAAACAAAUGACGGUAGCCAAGGAGGAAGCCCCGGCUAACUACGUGCCAGCAGCCGCGGUAAUACGUAGGGGGCGAGCGUUGUCCGGAAUUACUGGGCGUAAAGGGUGCGUAGGCGGCCUUUUAAGUUGGAUGUGAAAUACCCGGGCUUAACUUGGGGGGUGCAUCUAAUACUGGAGGGCUAGAGUGCAGGAGAGGGAAGCGGAAUUCCUAGUGUAGCGGUGAAAUGCGUAGAUAUUAGGAGGAACACCAGUGGCGAAGGCGGCUUUCUGGACUGUAACUGACGCUGAGGCACGAAAGCGUGGGGAGCAAACAGGCUUAGAUACCCCAGUAGUC
rnacentral:rRNA from 2 species